ensembl:lncRNA KLF3-AS1 KLF3 antisense RNA 1
UCUCCAAACAACGUUGCCACACGCGGAGAGCACGGAGAUUUCUGGGGCUUUGGAGGGAAUCGUGAGCGGGCGGGAGGAGGCCGGGGACCACACAGAACUGAGAUCCAGAGAGAUGAUGACUUUGCCCAUAGACCAAACAAAGAAAUACAUGUUUCAGUCCUGUGUCCUCCUGCUAUGUGUGUCCGGAAUUGGUGGGUUCUUGGUCUCACUGACUUCAAGAAUGAAGCUGCGGACCCUCGCGGUGAGUGUUACAGUUCUUAAAGGCAGUGUGUCCAGAGUUUGUUCCUACUGAUGUGUGGAUGUGUUCGGAGUAUCUUCCUUCUGGUGGGUUCGUGGUCUCGCUGGCUCAGGAGUGAAGCUGCAGACCUUCGUGGUGAGUGUUACAGCUCUUAAGGUGGUGCGUCUGGAGUUGUUCAUUCCUCCCAGCGGGCUCGUGGUCUCACUGGCUUCAGGAGUGAAGCUGCAGACCUUCGCGGUGAGUGUUACAGCUCAUAAAGGCAGCGUGGACCCAAAGAGUGAGAAGUAGCAAGAUUUAUUGCGAAGAGCGAAAGAACAAAGCUUCCACGAUGUGGAAGGAGACCCCAGCAGAUUGCCACUGCUGGCUUGGGCAGCCUGCUUUUAUUCUCUUAUUUGGCCCCCACCCACAUCCUGGUGAUUGGUAGAGCCCAGUGGUCUGUUUUGACAGGGCGCUGAUUGGUGCGUUUACAAUCACUGAGCCAGAUACAAAGGUUCUCCAGGUCCCCACUAGAUUAGCUAGAUACAGAGUGUCUAUUGGUGCAUUCACAAACCCUGAGCUAGACACAGGGUGUUGAUUGGUGUGUUUACAAACCUUGAGCUAGAGACAGAGUGCCGAUUGGUGUAUUUACAAUCCCUGAGCUAGACACAAAGGUUCUCCACGUCCGCACCAGACUCAGGAGCCCAGCUGGCUUCACCCAGUGGAUCCCGCACUGCCCCUGCAGGUGGAGCUGCCUGCCAGUCCCUCGCGGUGCGCCCGCACUCCUCAGCCCUUGGGUGGUCGAUGGGACUGGGCGCUGUGGAGCAGGAGGCGGCGCUUGCUGGGGAGGCUCCUGCGGCACAGGUGCCCACGGAGGGGGUGGGAGGCUCAGGCAUGGCGGGCUGCAGGUCCCGAGCCCUGCCCCUUGGGAAGGCAGCUAGGGCCCCGGGAGAAAUCGAGCGCAGCGCCGGUGGGUCAGCACUGCUGGGGGACCCAGUACACCCUCCACAGCCACUGGCUCGGGUGCUAAGCCCCUCAUUGCCUGGGGCCGGCAGGGCCUGCCGGCUGCUCCGAGUGCGGGCCGCCAAGCUCACACCCACCCAGAACUCCAGCUGGCCUGCAAGCGUCGCGUGCAGCCCCGGUUCCUGCUCGCAC